CUGGCGGCGUGCCUACAAUGCAAGUCGAGCGAUCUCUUCGGAGAGAGCGGCGGACGGGUGAGUAACGCGUGGGAAAACUGACCUGUACACACGGAUAACAUACCGAAAGGUAUACUAAUACGGGAUAACAUACGAAAGUCGCAUGGCUUUUGUAUCAAAGCUCCGGCGGUACAGGAUGGACCCGCGUCUGAUUAGCUCGUCGGUAAGGUAAUGGCUUACCAAGGCAACGAUCAGUAGCCGACCUGAUAGGGUGAUCGGCCACACUGGAACUGAGACACGGUCCAGACUCCUACGGGAGGCAGCAGUGGGGAAUAUUGCACAAUGGGCGAAAGCCUGAUGCAGCACGCCGCGUGAGCGAUGAAGGCCUUCGGGUCGUAAAGCUCUGUCCUCAAGGAAGAUAAUGACGGUACUUGAGGAGGAAGCCCCGGCUAACUACGUGCCAGCAGCCGCGGUAAUACGUAGGGGGCUAGCGUUAUCCGGAAUUACUGGGCGUAAAGGGUGCGUAGGUGGUUUUUUAAGUCAGAAGUGAAAGGCUACGGCUCAACCGUAGUAAGCUUUUGAAACUAGAGAACUUGAGUGCAGGAGAGGAGAGUAGAAUUCCUAGUGUAGCGGUGAAAUGCGUAGAUAUUAGGAGGAAUACCAGUAUCGAAGGCGGCUCUCUGGACUGUAACUGACACUGAGGCAUUAAAUUGUGGGGAGCAAACAGGAUUAGAUACCCUGGUAGUCCACGCCGUAAACGAGGAGUACUAGGUGUCGGGGGUUACCCCCCUCGGUGCCGCAGCUAACGCAUUAAGUACUCCCGC
rnacentral:rRNA from 1 species